rnacentral:rRNA from 1 species
UACGUAGGGGGCAAGCGUUGUCCGGAAUUAUUGGGCGUAAAGAGCGUGUAGGCGGUCCGGUAAGUCAGCUGUGAAAGUCAAGGGCUCAACCCUUGAAAGCCGGUUGAUACUGUCGGGCUAGAGUCCGGAAGAGGCGAGUGGAAUUCCCGGUGUAGCGGUGAAAUGCGCAGAUAUCGGGAGGAACACCAAUGGCGAAGGCAGCUCGCUGGGGCGGUACUGACGCUGAGACGCGAAAGCGUGGGGAGCAAACAGG